GCAAACACUGCAUUUUCCUUAGUCAACCUGUCCAAUAGUUAGCUCUGGGUGGUCUGGGCAUGGCUGGACUGGUGGCCACGCGUGAGGUACGGUGCUGGUAGGUCAGUUAGCAUAUGAUUUUGACCUUAAUACUUGGCGCGACAACAUCAAAGCUCAAAGCCAGUAAACAAUGGUGAUAUAGGUUAGUUGCAUUUGUGGUGCCAUGUUCUUAAUUUUGUAACAAAAUUGUUUUUUCUAGAGCUAGCACGGAAGACUUCAAAUCCAUAAAUUACCUGUGACCAAAAAAAAUGGAAAAUGACCCUCGAGGCUCAUUAGCUUUCACUUCUCAUUUUUCACACAUGUCCGGUUGUGUUGGAUGGAUCUUUGUAACUCCUUCAACAAGGUGUUAUAUAUAUAUUACCCUAAGCAUCACUUAUUGUUCUUAUCACCUAACCCCGGUAAUGGAUUGGCCUGGUCUCACCGGUUUUAGUGAUUUAGUUUUCAUAAUUAGUCUAGACUGGUUUUGUGGAAAAUUGGGUGAGAUAUAAAACAUUCAAUAAUAAGAAUAUUAUCAUGGCUAUAUGUGUGACCUAUAUCAAUAGUCGGACCCUAAAAUUAAAACCUCCAGUUCACACCUUAAAAUUCUAAUGAAAUUGACUGGAAAUUGUUAAAGAUUUAUCAGAAUGACAGUCAAAGACAUAAAAAUGCUUGUAAUAUAAUCAACAACAAUCUGACAUAGUUUUUUUUUCAUUCAGCCAGCUUAGUUAAAAACAAAUGACGAUAAUUUCCGACUUUCUGAGCACAAGAUAUAUAGCUGAAAGGUCUGACGCGAGAGGGAUAGAAGCACCGUAGCACAUGAUAGCACCAAUAUAAUUUCAAUGGAUUAGACCCCUCUGACUUCAUCUUUAACUUGCAGUAAUAUCCUCUUCAAUUUGCAGUGAUAUCCCAUUCAAUGUCUUUAGUCUCUGUUUUGUUGGGAUUAACAUGUACGUGCAGUAGUGCAGAUUAU
rnacentral:lncRNA from 1 species